rnacentral:lncRNA from 7 species
AAAGGCAAUUUUCCCAGGAGCUUCUAAAGAAGGAUUUGAAGGUGCUAGUAAGCUUCUUCAACCAAAGAAAAUGAGGUCUUGGAGGAGUCUCAACUGUGAGCACCUGAAGGAGAAUAGCUUUAAUCAGCAAUUGGCUGAAGAAAACUCCAUGGGACUUAGCGGUAGCAAGGCUCAUUAAAUUACAUGAGGAGCAUUCUGCACAUUCAACUGAUGGUGAAAGCAUAAGGACCAAGAAGAUCUUAGAGCAAUUUGAGGAACAGAGAAGGCAAAGAACAGUUUGGAAUGACCUGAGAGACAGUGCCUGUGUAUUUCUUUCAAGCCUAUCAUGCUUGCUGUCAUCUUCAGAACUACAGUUUUUAAAAAAAUAAAGUUGCCUAUGUGGUUUUAUUUACUAUAUCAACCAUGGAAGAAGGGAACUAAAUUCAGUGACUGAUGGGUCUGACAGCCAAAAUGUUCAUAUAGUCUCUGAUGGGUGCAUUUACUUCUUCGUGUGUUUAAGAGUCCUUGAAUUCCAAACAUUUAAAUAGAUUAUUGCAAAUAUAUUUUUCAUUUCUUGGUCAAGUCCAGAGUAAUAGCAAAGGAUUUAAUUUAGAAUCUCAAUGUUCUUGAGCUUCUCUGUCUGCUGUUUGUGUACUGUUAACUGUUUUCCCAAAAGGUCACCUACAAACCUGUUUACUCUCACAGGAUUACAAAUAUAGUCUGGUCACAGAGCAGCAGUAACUACAUCUCAUCUUUCCAAAUUCAUUCCGUUUUCUUCUUCUUGGCAUAUUCUCUGGGGAUUUCAUGCUUGCUCUUGCUGCAUCACUCUUAUAAAACUAAAAUAUGCAGGUUUUUUACAGUACUAAUCUCACGUCAUUUUCCUUUUCUUAUCUCAAACUUUAUAGUAUUCUGAACUAUAUGACUGAGAGCUGGUGUGACAAAGAGCAGCAAUCUCUUGCAUGGCACUUAUCCCAGUGUGAGUAGAGGCAUCCCUUUGCUGAGAUGUUGAGGUUAAAACAAAUUCACAUUUAUAGCUCUUUAUUAACUCUUAUAGACUAUUUUGACCAUUUGUUUACUGUUUUGGCUUCUCUGUUUCUUCUAUUUACGAGUAUUCUCUCUAUAUACAUACAUUUACUUUUCAUGAAAUUCUUUGAAAUGUUUGACCUCAUUAUCUUGUAUUAAAACUGAUGCUGUAU